rnacentral:rRNA from 1 species
GAUGAACGCUGGCGGCGUGCCUAAUACAUGCAAGUCGAGCGAACAGACGAGGAGCUUGCUCCUCUGACGUUAGCGGCGGACGGGUGAGUAACACGUGGAUAACCUACCUAUAAGACUGGGAUAACUUCGGGAAACCGGAGCUAAUACCGGAUAAUAUAUUGAACCGCAUGGUUCAAUAGUGAAAGACGGUUUUGCUGUCACUUAUAGAUGGAUCCGCGCCGCAUUAGCUAGUUGGUAAGGUAACGGCUUACCAAGGCAACGAUGCGUAGCCGACCUGAGAGGGGGAUCGGCCACACGGGAACUGAGACACGGUCCAGACUCCUACGGGAGGCACCAGUAGGGAAUCUUCCGCAAUGGGCGAAAGCCUGACGGAGCAAGGCCGCGUGAGUGAUGAAGGUCUUCGGAUCGUAAAACUCUGUUAUUAGGGAAGAACAAAUGUGUAAGUAACUAUGCACGUCUUGACGGUACCUGAUCAAAAAGCCCCGGCUAACUACGUG